AAUGAACGCUGGCGGCGUGCUUAACACAUGCAAGUCGUACGAGAACAGUUGGCUUCGGCUGACUUAGUAAAGUGGCGCACGGGUGAGUAACGCGUGGGUAAUCUACCCUCGAGUCUGGAAUAACGUCUCGAAAGAGGCACUAAUACGGGAUAAGACCACGGGGACUUCGGUUCCAGGGGUAAAAGGUCCUUCACGGGAUCGCUUGAGGAUGAGCCUGCGUGACAUUAGAUUGAUGGUGGGGUAAAGGCCUACCAUAUUGUCUACGAUGUCUAGCUGGUCUGAGAGGAUGAUCAGCCACACUGGGACUGGAACACGGCCCAGACUCCUACGGGAGGCAGCAGUGAGGAAUUUUGCGCAAUGGGGGCAACCCUGACGCAGCAACGCCGCGUGAGUGAUGAAGGCCUUUUGGUUGUAAAGCUCUGUCGCCUGGAAAGAAACCUGGAGAUAGGAAAUGAUCUUCAGCUGACGGUACCAGGAAAGGAAGGACCGGCUAACUCCGUGCCAGCAGCCGCGGUAAAAC
rnacentral:rRNA from 1 species